rnacentral:lncRNA from 1 species
AAGGGCCCAAAUAAGCAUUAUUCUUGGUUUUCGUACAAUAACUUUAGUAUAAGUAAAUAGAAAUCAAUGAAAUUUAAACACAAGGUUUAUGAACACAAAAGGAAGGUUGGGAUUGAUUUUGGGAGUUUUGGUCCCAACAGUUUAGGAAUUAGGGGCCAAAAAGGGGCCCAAAUAAGCAUUUUUCUUGGUUUUCGCACCAUAACUUUAGUAUAAGUAAAUAGAAAUCUAUGAAAUUUAAACACAAGGUUUAUGACCAUAAAAGGAAGGUUGGGUGUGAUUUUGGGAGGUUUGGUCCCAACAGUUUAGGAAUAAGGGGCCCAAAGGGUCCAAAAUUGAACUUUGUU